rnacentral:rRNA from 1 species
UACGAAGGGGGGCUAGCGUUGCUCGGAAUCACUGGGCGUAAAGGGUGCGUAGGCGGGUCUUUAAGUCAGGGGUGAAAUCCUGGAGCUCAACUCCAGAACUGCCUUUGAUACUGAAGAUCUUGAGUUCGGGAGAGGUGAGUGGAACUGCGAGUGUAGAGGUGAAAUUCGUAGAUAUUCGCAAGAACACCAGUGGCGAAGGCGGCUUACUGGUCCGGUUCUGACGCUGAGGCGCGAAAGCGUGGGGAGCAAACAGG